rnacentral:rRNA from 1 species
AAACUAACCAGGAUUCCCUCAGUAACGGCGAGUGAAGCGGGAAAAGCUCAGACUGAAAAUCUUCGGAGUUGUGGUCUGGAGAAGAAGUGGUAAUCGUGAAAGCUUUCGUAAAGUCGCAUGGAAAGGCGCGCCACGGAGGGUGAGAGCCCCGUUCGUACGAGAGGGAAGCA